CUACUGAUUAAAAUUGGAAACAAAACUUAUAAAAAUUGACAUUUCUUUGUAGUGCACGUGGUGUUAAUCCUUUAUUAAACUCCUUGAG
rnacentral:ribozyme from 1 species